rnacentral:rRNA from 1 species
UAGGGAAUCUUCGGCAAUGGACGGAAGUCUGACCGAGCAACGCCGCGUGAGUGAAGAAGGUUUUCGGAUCGUAAAGCUCUGUUGUUAGAGAAGAACGUUGGUAGGAGAGGAAAAUCUACCAAGUGACGGUAACUAACCAGAAAGGGACGGCUAACUACGUGCCAGCAGCCGCGGUAAUACGUAGGUCCCGAGCGUUGUCCGGAUUUAUUGGGCGUAAAGCGAGCGCAGCCGGUUCUUGAAGUCUGAAGUUAAAGGCAGUGGCUUAACCACUGUACGCUUAAGAAACUGGAGGACUUGAGGGCAGAAGUGGAGAGUUGAAGUCCAUGUGUAGCAGUGAAAUGCGUAGAUAUAUGGAGGAACACCGGUGGCGAAAGCGGCUCUCUGGUCUGUAACUGACGCUGAGGCUCGAAAGCGAGGGGAGCAAACAGG